rnacentral:rRNA from 1 species
AUUGAACGCUGGCGGCAUGCCUUACACAUGCAAGUCGAACGGUAACAGGUCUUCGGAUGCUGACGAGUGGCGAACGGGUGAGUAAUACAUCGGAACGUGCCCGAGAGUGGGGGAUAACGAAGCGAAAGCUUUGCUAAUACCGCAUACGAUCUCAGGAUGAAAGCAGGGGGCCGCAAGGCCUUGCGCUCACGGAGCGGCCGAUGGGAGAUUAGGUAGUUGGUGGGAUAAAAGCUUACCAAGCCGACGAUCUGUAGCUGGUCUGAGAGGACGACCAGCCACACUGGGACUGCGCCACGGCCCAGACUCCUACGGGAGGCAGCAGUGGGGAAUUUUGGACAAUGGGCGCAAGCCUGAUCCAGCCAUGCCGCGUGCAGGAUGAAGGCCUUCGGGUUGUAAACUGCUUUUGUACGGAACGAAAAGACUCCUUCUAAUAAAGGGGGUCCAUGACGGUACCGUAAGAAUAAGCACCGGCUAACUACGUGCCAGCCGCCGCGGUAAAAC